rnacentral:lncRNA from 1 species
ACAAGAUAUGAUUAUGUUUGCCAGUUUAUUGCAUGCUUCUAAAUGUUGGGUGUGUAUGCCAGUCAUUCAGGCAUAAUGCUUCAUGGUGUGCCUGUCAAUGGAUCUUUUCAAUUUACUAAUAUUAUAUCCCCUAAGCAAACUUUUUGGCCUCCAGUACAAUUGACCCUCCAUGAGCCUGCCCCCAUUUGUUUUCAAAUUAAAGAGGGGAAAGAAUCAUGGGGCAUAUAUCCAAACUGUCAAUAUACAUUGAAUUUCACUUUUAAUAGCUCUUGUUCUCUUACAGGAACAUACAGUGACCAAUCUCAGUGCUAUAGGAGUGACACCAGUGCAUGGCUAAUAAACUAGAAAGGAAGCCUACCAUGCAGCUUGGAAUCAGAAUUCUUAUAUUCUUGGCUCCCAGAUGGGAGUUGGCUUCGACAUUUAUUGAUUUUAGUGAUCAUUAUAGUAGUUAUUUGCAUUAUUUUGUGUUGCUGUAUCCAAUGUAUUCCUUCUUUAAUUUCUAUAUGUACUGCAUGGUUCUCCAGUCCGCGGCCCGCUUCCGGUGUCACAAGAGUCGCUUAUCACGCUCGAUAUAACCGUAUUGGUACUGACAUAUAUGACUCUGAUUAAUAAAAUUAAGAAAGAGGGCAUGUGGGAGUCAUAAAGCCACAGCAAAGGCUUGUAAUAUUGCAGGGUGCCCCCUGACCUCGGCUGACCAGCACUCUGAGCUUUACAAUGUAUUGGAAUGUAUUGACCUUAAAUGGAGUUGUGUUUCCUCUGGGCAGUGAUGACCCUAUAUGGUGAUGGGGGUAAUAAAGGCCUUGACCAGAUGAGGUAACGUGAGACAUUGGCAAACGGCCAUGCGGCUGGAGAGAGACAAGGGAUAAUAAAAAAGCUACGGGAGGAGAGAGAAGUUCGAAAGGAGCUGCUCAUACCAUCCUGAAAAUAUUGCUGGCUCUCUGUGUCUUUAUUUUAUGCUAAACUGCGCCAUUUGUGACGGC